rnacentral:rRNA from 1 species
GACGAACGCUGGCGGCGUGCUUAACACAUGCAAGUCGAACGGAAAGGCCCUGCUUUUGUGGGGUGCUCGAGUGGCGAACGGGUGAGUAACACGUGAGUAACCUGCCCUUGACUUUGGGAUAACUUCAGGAAACUGGGGCUAAUACCGGAUAGGAGCUCCUGCUGCAUGGUGGGGGUUGGAAAGUUUCGGCGGUUGGGGAUGGACUCGCGGCUUAUCAGCUUGUUGGUGGGGUAGUGGCUUACCAAGGCUUUGACGGGUAGCCGGCCUGAGAGGGUGACCGGCAAAAUGGGGACUGAGAUACGGCCCAGACUCCUACGGGGGGCAGAAGUGGGGAAAAUGGCACAAGGGGGGGAAGCCGGAGGAAGCAACGCCGGGGGGGGGAGGAGGGCCUUGGGGUUGUAAACCGCUUUCGCCGGUGACGAAGGGGGAGGGAAGGGAAUGGGGAAAGAAGCACCGGCUAACUACGG